rnacentral:rRNA from 1 species
UACGAAGGGGGCUAGCGUUGCUCGGAAUUACUGGGCGUAAAGGGCGCGUAGGCGGACAGUUUAGUCAGAGGUGAAAGCCCAGGGCUCAACCUUGGAACUGCCUUUGAUACUGGCUGUCUUGAGUUCGGGAGAGGUGAGUGGAAUGCCGAGUGUAGAGGUGAAAUUCGUAGAUAUUCGGCGGAACACCAGUGGCGAAGGCGGCUCACUGGACUGGUAUUGACGCUGAGGAGCGAAAGCUAGGGGAGCAAACGGG